rnacentral:rRNA from 1 species
UACAGAGGGGGGCAAGCGUUGUUCGGAAUUACUGGGCGUAAAGGGCUCGUAGGCGGCCAACUAAGUCGGAUGUGAAAUCCCCAGGCUUAACCUGGGAACUGCAUCCGAUACUGGAUGGCUUGAAUCCGGGAGAGGGAUGCAGAAUUCCAGGUGUAGCGGUGAAAUGCGUAGAUAUCUGGAGGAAUACCGGUGGCGAAGGCGGCAUCCUGGACCGGUAUUGACACUGAGGCGCGAAAGCCAGGGGAGCAAACGGG